UGCGUAGGCGGAUAAAUAAGUCAGUGGUGAAAUCUUUCGGCUCAACCGGGAAACUGCCAUUGAUACUGUUUAUCUUGAGUUCGGUUGAGGUAGGCGGAAUGUGUAAUGUAGCGGUGAAAUGCUUAGAUAUUACACAGAACACCAAUUGCGUAGGCAGCUUACUAGACCGACACUGACGCUGAGGCACGAAAGCGUGGGGAGCGAACAGGAUUAGAUACCCUGGUAGUCC
rnacentral:rRNA from 1 species